AAAGAAAAUAGAAGACAGAACUUUUGCAUUAAUAAAAUAAAUUCCAACAGUUUUCGUAGUAAACAAGUAAACUUCACUACCAACAUGAGUAACGGCGUUGACAAUAAUAGGAAUAACACUGGUAAUAGUGAGAAUGAGAGAGACAUUAACAAUAACAGCAACAUCAUCGGCGUUGACAGUGCGAAUAGUAUGGUUAACAGAAGCAGCAAUAAGGAAGCACCUGUUGUUAGAGGUAUGUGAUAGAUAAACACAAAGGUUGCCGAACGGUGUGCGACAAAUAAACAAACGUAAAACUUACCACCUGAAAAAAAAGACAUGACAACCUAUGGUGUUUUAGAGGAUAGCAGAAUAAAAGGUAGAACACAACAGACGGGGAAAGGUGAGACGAGAAACCACAGCACAACGCAACGGAUUCAAACACAACACCACACACCGAUAAGUAUUGUGCAAUAUAACAAGGAACGAAUUUCGUACGAAAUACUAGCGCCACACAGCACACAACGCAAGCGGGAGUAACCCAUAUGCAUACACACAAACAGAGACACACACACACACGCACAUCUGAUUGACGCAUACGCUCACACUAGAAACUUAGCACAACUACACAUAGGAAACCACGCAACACACCAGUACAAAAACACAACGUAGCAUAGCGCAACACAGCACAACAUAACACAACACCCAGCAUCUAGCACCCAGCACCCAGCACAACAUACCCUCAAACACUGCACAACACAACAUCGCAACAACACAAACACAAACGCAAAAACUACAAAACAGCACAACCAGAA